rnacentral:rRNA from 1 species
UACGUAGGGUGCUAGCGUUGUCCGGAUUUAUUGGGCGUAAAGGGCUCGUAGGCGGUCGGGUAAGUCUGAUGUGAAAUCUCACAGCUUAACUGUGAAACUGCAUUGGAUACUAUCCGGCUAGAGGAAUGGAGGGGAGACUGGAAUACUUGGUGUAGCAGUGAAAUGCGUAGAUAUCAAGUGGAACACCAGUGGCGAAGGCGAGUCUCUGGACAUUUCCUGACGCUGAGGCACGAAAGCCAGGGGAGCAAACGGG